rnacentral:rRNA from 1 species
ACGCGUAUCCAACCUUCCGUACACUCAGGGAUAGCCUUUCGAAAGAAAGAUUAAUACCUGAUGGUAUGAUGAGAUUGCAUGAUAGCAUCAUUAAAGAUUUAUCGGUGUACGAUGGGGAUGCGUUCCAUUAGGUAGUAGGCGGGGUAACGGCCCACCUAGCCAACGAUGGAUAGGGGUUCUGAGAGGAAGGUCCCCCACAUUGGAACUGAGACACGGUCCAAACUCCUACGGGAGGCAGCAGUGAGGAAUAUUGGUCAGUGGACGAGAGUCUGAACCAGCCAAGUAGCGUGAAGGAUGAAGGUCCUACGGAUUGUAAACUUCUUUUAUAAGGGAAUAAACCCUCCCACGUGUGGGAGCUUGUAUGUACCUUAUGAAUAAGCAUCGGCUAACUCCGUGCCAGCAGCCGCGGUAAUACGGAGGAUGCGAGCGUUAUCCGGAUUUAUUGGGUUUAAAGGGAGCGCAGACGGGUCGUUAAGUCAGCUGUGAAAGUUUGGGGCUCAACCUUAAAAUUGCAGUUGAUACUGGCGUCCUUGAGUGCGGUUGAGGUGUGCGGAAUUCGUGGUGUAGCGGUGAAAUGCUUAGAUAUCACGAAGAACUCCGAUUGCGAAGGCAGCACACUAAUCCGUAACUGACGUUCAUGCUCGAAAGUGUGGGUAUCAAACAGGAUUAGAUACCCUGGUAGUCCACACGGUAAACGAUGGAUACUCGCUGUUGGCGAUAUACUGUCAGCGGCUUAGCGAAAGCGUUAAGUAUCCCACCUGGGGAGUACGCCGGCACCGG